rnacentral:tRNA from 1 species
GGGCCAUUAGCUCAGCUGGUAGAGCAAGCGACUCUUAAUCGCUAGGUCGUAGGUUCGACCCCUACAUGGCCCA